rnacentral:rRNA from 1 species
AUUGAGUUUGAUCCUGGUUCAGAUUGAACGCUGGCGGCAUGCCUAACACAUGCAAGUCGAACGGUAGCAGGCCUUCGGGUGCUGACGAGUGGCGGACGGGUGAGUAAUGCGUAGGAAUCUGUCUUUUAGUGGGGGACAACCCAGGGAAACUUGGGCUAAUACCGCAUGAGCCCUGAGGGGGAAAGCGGGGGAUCUUCGGACCUCGCGCUAAGGGAAGAGCCUACGUCUGAUUAGCUAGUUGGUAGGGUAAAGGCCUACCAAGGCGACGAUCAGUAGCUGGUCUGAGAGGACGACCAGCCACACUGGGACUGAGACACGGCCCAGACUCCUACGGGAGGCAGCAGUGGGGAAUUUUUCGCAAUGGGGGCAACCCUGACGAAGCAAUGCCGCGUGGAUGAAGAAGGCCUUCGGGUUGUAAAGUCCUUUCGUGGGGGACGAAAAGGUGGUUCCUAAUACGAGCUGCUGUUGACGUGAACCCAAGAAGAAGCACCGGCUAACUCCGUGCCAGCAGCCGCGGUAAUACGGGGGGUGCAAGCGUUAAUCGGGAAUCACUGGGCGUAAAGGGUGCGUAGGCGGUACGUUAGGUCUGUCGUGA